rnacentral:lncRNA from 1 species
GAUGGCUCCGUGGAUAAAGUGUCUUGUGGCACGAGUGUGGCAACCCGGGUUUGGCGAGUGUGCCUGUAACCGCAACACUGGGUGCCGAGGCAGGAGUGUCCCCAGGACUUCCUGACCAGUCAGUCUAGAGGAACCAUCAAGCUCCCAGUUCUGUGACAGCCCUGUCUCAGAAAAUAAAAUGGGGAAGUGACUGAAGAAGGAAUCUGGACAUCUGUUUCUGGCUUCCACUUGAGCCGGCCCAGCCUCUCCAUCACCUCUUCAUUCAUCUUGGUGGCGUUGGGAGAGGUGUGUCAUACAGAGUAUACCCUUUUGUCCUGUCAGCUUUACUAGCAAUGUUCAUUGCAAUGAGUCACUGGUCUGGUUCAAAGGCCUCCAGUUUUUAGCACACCAUCAUCACUGGAUCCUCACCAGAACUCCUCUAGGAUAUCUCGUUGUUGCCCUGACUUUUGGAGAUCCUGCAGGUAUUGUUCCAAAGGACCGAUCCCUUCACAAGCUCUAGCGGGUCCAAGAUGGAGUAGAUGCUAGGGUGGGCCAGCCCAA